AGAAGGAUAACAUGACAUAGCAGGAAUAAUACUGCCUUUUCUUUCUGGCAUGGAUCAAGAGAAAAGAAAAUACAAGAAAACAGACAGAAGAUCCUAUCUGCGACAAUUAAGAGCACUCUAAGAGGAAAACACAUCCCACCACAGCAAGGUACUUCUAUGGAAGGGUGAGCCCUCACAGAUGGAGCAAUGGGGCGCGCACACCUGAACAAGGGAGGGGAAGGAGUUCUUAUCCCUGAUGCAUGUGACCCCUGCUGCUGUGUCCUUCCCCUAUUGGCUAAGGCUUCUGACAGCUUUGGAGAUUGUGACAUUGGAAUAAAGGAAAAACGUACAGGACUCAUGAAGCGCUGAAAUGUUCACAAAUAUCAAGCAAAAGUCAAUGAAAUUUAUUUUGAGCUAUUUACAUCAUUUAAUAAUUGAGCAAGGUAUACUCCUAUGAACAAAAUUUGGAGCAUGUUUGUCUCUCUCUGCCUGGCGUCUUCAGAAUUUGGAAACUAGUUAGUCAUGGAAAUUUAUUUUGAGCUAUUUACAGCAUUUAAUAAUUGAGCAAGGUAUACUCCUAUGAACAAAAUUUGGAGCAUGUUUGUCUCUCUCUGUCUGCCUGGCAUCUACAGAAUUUGGAAACUAGUUUCGUUCCCAGAUUUCCUAAACUUUCCAGAGAAAAUGGUCUUCUCCCUGGCUCAGCAAGAAGAUGAACUUUAAACACUGAGAAACUGGUCAUCUCCCUGGCUCAACCAGAAGAUGAACUUUAAACACUACUCUCAAUGACUUGAUGUUCCCAUCACUACUCCUGUCAUAAAGGGAGGGGACUCAGAUAUUGAGAAUUUUAUGAUAGUGUGAACUGUCUGGUAUGUCAUUUAAGUAAGCCCGUUGCUGAAAUAUUUUCCAUGUUAUUAGAAAGAGCUGAAGAGAGGGAUUGAGAUGGCUUCUUUAUUUUUUGUCUUUUGGGAAUUAAAGGAACCUGGUUCAACAAGGGCCUACACCUAAGUCUCUUGUUGUACCAGAGUACAAUUUAGGACUGCUCCUGAGGAAGGAAUUAGCUAGAAAUCUAGAGAGUAAGGGUAACAGAUUUACAUAGAAUAACAGCCUCAGUAUUUUUGGUUCCUCUCCAGUAAAGAUCACAAAGAAUAUUGCUAAAUCGCUAAAACACCUUUGCAAUAACGUAAGGGCUUACAACUAUAUACCAAUGUAGCUCAGUUACUAAACUGGAGUAAACUAAUUUCUCUUGUGUAGAAAAAUUGGUUGGCUGUGGUUUUAUAGCAGAUCUGCAAUUAUUAAUAGUUAUGCCAAUAAUCGUUUAACAGUGCAUAUGUUAAUAUAUAUGGAAAGACAAUGUGUAUAGACAGAUGUGUAAAAUUGAAAAAUAAACAUAUAACAAGAGAGAAACAUCUAUCGAACAGACAAUAUACAUACACAUCAAACACAACAGCAGUUUUAGUGACCAUAAUAUUUAUUUCUCAUUUUUACAUUGCUUACUUUAGUGACAACUGAAAAUGACAGUUGGCAAUGCAGCUAACAGUUUCAAUAAAAGUAUAAAACAAAAGACUGUGUACAAAGCACCUGUCUUUCCGCUUUUGUAAUCUUCCGUUGGAAAAAAUUUACACACCUAAGUAACCAUCUGUUUUCUUCAAGAAAAAAUCAUUCUUAUUUCUCUCUCUCAUCUUGAAAACAGCUGUCAGCCAGGAGGGCAGAGCUGAAAUUUAUUGCCACAUCACAUGAAGCAUAGAACAGACUCCACUACUCCUUGAGAUUCAAAACUUUGCCUCUCACAAAGUUACCUUUUAUUUUCCUCUUGUUUGUCACUCAUCUCCCCUAGUGUGCUCUUUUUAUUUCUUUUACUAUUAAUAAUAAAAUCUGUGGAUGACUGUAUUAUU
ensembl:lncRNA LINC00320 long intergenic non-protein coding RNA 320